AUACGUAGGUGACAAGCGUUAUCCGGAUUUACUGGGCGUAAAGGGCGUGUAGGCGGUCUUGCAAGUCAGAAGUGAAAUUCCUGAGCUCAACUCGGGCGCUGCUUCUGAAACUGCAGGACUUGAGUGCUGGAGGGGAUAGCGGAAUUCCUAGUGGAGCGGUAAAAUGCGCAGAUAUUAGGAAGAACACCGGUGGCGAAGGCGGCUAUCUGGACAGUAACUGACGCUGAGGCGCGAAAGCGGGGGGAGCAAACAGGAUUAGAUACUCUGGUAGUCCACGCCGUAAACGAUGAGCACUAAGUGUCGGAUGAAUUUUCGGCGCUGCAGUUAACACAAUAAGUGCUCCGCCUGGGGAGUACGGUCGCAAGACUGAAACUUAAAGGAAUUGACGGGG
rnacentral:rRNA from 1 species